rnacentral:sRNA from 1 species
UAUUCUACUGUCUCAUCUGCUUUGGCAUCAGCGCUGAAUAGAUUUAAGACAUCUGCGCAUGUGUCUUCAGGUGCUGAAGAAAAACACCCUUCUCUGUACAUUGCCUAUUGGGCUGACACUUAAACAUUGCUCUGGGAUGUUGCAAACAGACCAAGCUAGAAAGGUACAAAAUGACUUUAUGUGCCUUAGUUGGAAUGUUGAUCUUAUUCUCUUAGACAAUCAACUUGUCUCUCUCUGCAUCCUAUUACACGCUGAGGACAGAAUAUUUGGAGGAUGUUGUACCUGCCCCCGAAACACUGCAACUCACUGAGUUGGAAAAUUGAGAAACUAUAAAGAAGAGAUUCUACCCUGCACUGUGGAUUCCCAGUGUUUUAUUUUGGAUGCCUUAUUCACCCAAGAGCAACAAGUUACGAAGGCAUCGAGAAAGCAUGGACAACAGCUGAGUCUUAUCACUGUGUGGCAGGGAUGGAUUUCUGGAAGACAUGCAAGAAGAGGCUACUGAUGAGAGUGCACCCCAGUUGCAACAAGUGGCUGCAUUUCUAAGGAAAAGUGACCCUUGCUCAUCCAGCAGUCAUCAGUACUAAUGGAACCCAGGAUUAUUUCCAAGAAGUGCAAAUAUGGACCCUGGCUUCUGGCAAGAGAAAAUAUUGUGAAACUACAAGGACCAGAAGUCCUUUCGGUUUUCAACUUCCCUUGGAGCCAAGAAGUGACAGCCACUUCAUUCAAUUCCUGUGGUUGUGGGAACACUGGAAAGUGGUUUGUUUUCCGUUUUGUUACAUUCAGGAUUUCUUUGAUUGAAUCUUGUCUUCGCAAUUAUUACUGAUAAUACAAGUCUCGCCUUUGUAUUUUUCCCGUUAAUCUUGGAAUGCGGCUAAAAGAAGGAAGUGAACGAUUCAGAAUUAAAUCAGGGAUUACAGAAGUCACCAUUCAGUAAGCAUAGUUUUAAAAUGAAAAAUUUUCAUGGAAUUUUCAGCAAAUUCGUAGGCUUUUUAAAAAUUAUUAUACGUAAAUUUAGAUGUGAUUCUUUAACAGAAUAUGCUAUAAUUUCGAAUUUCUUAAAUAUAUCUGCAUACACACACACACACACACACACACACACACACACAGAAGUACAAGACAACGUUAUAUAGGUGAUACUUGCUUCCGUGCCAUAUUAUUUGUCAUCAAGUAUUGUGUCAAUCACAGUGUAUGGGGCGUGG